AUGGUUGUUGUGUUGAGGUAUGUUCACAAGCUUGGGUUAAUCCUGGAACGACUAGUUGGGGUAGUACAUGUGAAGGAAACAUCGACAAUGUGUCUCAAGUUAGCCCUUGAGAAAUUGCUUGUUGAUAUUGUAUUAAGCUUCAAACAAGUUAGAGGGCAAUACUAUGAUGGGGCGAGCAAUAUGACGGUUGAGUUCAAUGGUUUGAAAGCUAAAAUUCUAUUUUUUUACAUUAUCUCUCUUCUGUUUAAUGUGGUUGGAGCUUCUUGCAAAAGAAAAGACAUGAUCAAAGAGACUAAUAGAGAUAAUGUAAAAACAGCCAUGAGUAGUGGAGGAAUAAGUACCGGCACAGGAUUGAAUCGAGAUCAAUCACUUCAAAGGGCGGGAGACACCCACUGGGGUUCUCACCAUAGAACCCUCUCAACCUUAAUUCAGUUGUUCCAAUCAAUUGUUAGUGCCUUCAAGUAUGUAUCAAAAGAAGGCAAGAAAGAUUCCGAGAAAUGUGAAGCACGUGGUCUUCUAUCAUAUUUUGGAACCUUUGAUUUUGUGUUCUAUUUGCACAUGAUGUUCCACAUAUUAGGGAGUGCCAACACUCUGUCACAUGCAUUGCAACAAAAGGAUCAAUAUAUCUUGAAUGCAAUGUCACACUGUUGCAGGAUGCUGCUAACGCGACACUACGAUCAGAGACCCUUCGACGAAACUAUGUGCGAUGCAAUAAUCACAAACAUGGUGUAA
rnacentral:rRNA from 1 species